GAGGUUGUAGCUCAGUGGUAGAGCUCAUGUUUGGUAUGCACAAGGUCCUAGAUUCAAUCCCUGUCAUCUCCA